GGAAAGACAGUAGCUCAGUGGUAGGAAAUCUGCCUUGCAUGCAGAAGGUUCCAAGUUCAAUCCCCAGCAUCUCCA